UGCUUGGACUACAUAUGGUU
rnacentral:ncRNA from 2 species